GGCCGCUGUGGCCGAGUGGUAACUCUCGUGACUUACAUUCGUCAGUUGUGGGUUCGAGCCCCUCCACGGUCU